rnacentral:lncRNA from 1 species
AAACCAUGGCCUCUAGUUGGAAAUUAGUUAAUGUUACACAGGCACUCCUCCUCAACCACUAUGGCAAUGGUGCCUAUCUCAUUUAGAUCUGAGCUUUGCCCAAUUUUUUUAUGAAUAUUUGGGAAGCUAAGUCCACAGAUCAAGAAAUCACUAAAAAUUUGAGUAAGUUUGCUUCUGACAAAUUUUUUAAUUUCAAGCUCACAAAUUAU